rnacentral:rRNA from 1 species
AUGUUUGGGCUAUUUUGCUUCCUACGGGGUGUUGAUGGUCCAAAAUGUCCUCCCGUCAAGGUUGGCGGGUUCGAAGCCUUCAAGUGUAUGCACGUGUAUCGCUACCGGGGCGGGUCUCCCCACGGGGACCUAAUACGCGUCAAGUGUCCAAGACGAGAAGAAAAUGGCCCCAAUGUUGGGAUACGAGGUAGCCUCCAGUGUAUGCACGUGUAUCACUACCGGGGCGGGUCUCCCCACGGGGACCUAAUACGCAUCAAGUGUCCAAGACGAGAAGAAAAUGGCCCCAAUGUCGGGAUACGAGGAAGUGGGGACAUAACCAUUAGAAGCCCGUCGGCUGCUUGCUGCCGCCGCCGCCGCCCUCUCGCGUACGGCAGUGGCGCCACAAUCUUUAUGGAAGGCAACAACCAUCAUGUGGGGAGGAGGCUUUGGGGCCGUCGCAUGGGAGAGCACAAACAACGACGACGCAGAUGCAGGAUGGCAAACCUGCUUGCAAAAGUUGGGCAAUCAGCCCCUUUCACCCCCGUCGCCUGCGUCCUCCCAGGCGGCGGCGGCGAAGCCGGACACCAAAUCCGGCGAGGCCUUCAACGCGGCGCUCAUUGGGGACAUCAGGGUGACCGCGCCGGAGUUGGUGCCGCCGUCUUCCUCGCGCGCAGCAGCGGGUGGGCACAACGGCCGGCGAGCCGCGCGACGGAGCAGGAGGCCGUGGGGCUGUGCCGCGGGCGCGCCGACCCGCACGCGGUCACCGUACGCCACCGCGACGCGCUCGGGGGCGGGCACGCUGCGCUCGACUGGUCGCUCCUGCCCAUCUCCUCCCUGCUCCACCUCCUUCUCGUCUCCGUGUCCGCUCUGCCGGGGCUCACGCUCCCCGCCACGGCAACCCGACGGUUGGCAGGGUCAGGGCGCCGCCGUAUCGGCCGAGCCACGCCACCUAGUGAAGAAAAGCAGCGGGGUUGCAUGGGCGGUGCUGCACCCCGGCGGCGUCAUGUUCGGCCACGACUACUUCACCGCCGCCGACGGCCGCGGCGUCCGGCGCGCCGUUACGCUGUUCGCCAGGGUGAAGGGACUCACCGUCCGGCCCCAAGGCUAGCACUGGAUCCUCUCCCCGAAGCCGCGCGGCGACGGCCGGUGACGCGUUCUCUCGGUCGGUCUCUCCGGUGUGCGUUCGCGUGCUUGUCGCGGUCACCGGCCUCCGCAUGCUGUCGAGGCAGGGGCGAGCAAAAGGGCACGAAGCCGGCGGAGGAGCAGCCAGGAUCUGGUUGGGGCGAGGUGCAGGAGGGCCGGGAGCACGGAUCCACACACGCCGGUGGGUCAGAGGCUCUUCCUUGCGACGACGGCGGCUCUGGCUCCGGCGCGGUCACCCUUCCAUCCACAGAGACGAAGGUGAGAGGGAGUUCGAGAUCCCGGCAGGUUCACCGGUGGCAGGUAUCCCACCCUCAGCCGUCCCCCCUUCCAUCCUCCAUCCCGCCCACGAGCGCCAGGAAGGGACGGCCUCCCUCAGCCGAGCACCCGGCGAACCAGCGUCCCUCCUCCCCCGCGUGA